AACAUUGCCAAACUGGUGAAAUCGAAGAACCUUAUCGACACCAUCGCCCGGGCAGCCACUGAUACCUUACAGGUGCCCAUGCAGACAGCAUUUCGAGAGGCCUUUCAGAGUAUAGUUCUACCUGCUUUCGAGAAGAGCUGCCAGUCUAUGUUCCAGCAGAUCAACGACACCUUCAAGCAAGGCACGCAAGAAUAUAUUCUGCAGUUGGAGGCUCAGCUGAAGAA